AGAGUGAACGCUGGCGGCAGGCCUAACACAUGCAAGUCGAACGGCAGCACAGGGGAGCUUGCUCCCUGGGUGGCGAGUGGCGGACGGGUGAGGAAAACGUCGGAAUCUGCCUAUUUGUGGGGGAUAACGUAGGGAAACUUACGCUAAUACCGCAUACGACCUACGGGUGAAAGCGGAGGACCUUCGGGCUUCGCGCAGAUAGAUGAGCCGAGUCGGAUUAGCUAGGUUGGCGGGGUAAAGCCCACCAAGGCGACGAUCCGUAGCUGGUCUGAGAGGAUGAUCAGCCACACUGGAACUGAGACACGGUCCAGACUCCUACGGG
rnacentral:rRNA from 1 species